rnacentral:misc_RNA from 1 species
UUUGAAUUUUAACGGUCACAACAGUUGGCUGAGUGACAUAGCAGCCGGCCCUUGAAAUACUGCGAACGCGGCACUACACAGCACUCUUCCGCGGAUGCCUUAGUGCGAUAUUGUACGGCCGCUUUACAACACUGCUUGAUCAGCUGCUGAACCAACAGAUGUUGAAAAAAUUUUGUAAAACGUACACAAAAAACGAAUGGAAUUUGUAGAUACAAUGGAUCUGGAGAAUGAAAGGGUGCUCAAAUUGAUAUUCCCCGAUGGUGUGCCAGACAAUCUGCGUGGCAAUCCAGAAUUGGAUAAUUAUCUCGGGAAGCUAGGCACCUACAAGGUGGAUCAGCUAAAAAAAGAGCAAACACGCCUGGCCGACGAGACCAAGACCAUAUUGGAGCAGACCCAGGACCUGGCCAUCUCCAAUUACAAGACUUUCAUCACGACGGCGGAGAACUCGCGAUCGAUAUUCAACGAAUUCCAGAAGACGGAGGAGCAGGUGGGCACUCUGAUUGGCAAGUUGCCAGAGUUCAGUGGCAAGUGCGAGCAGUUCCUAAAGGACUCCGCGGAGCUGAACGAGCAGCGCCGCCUCAACUCCAUCACUCUGCAGAAGAACUCCCAGCUGCUGGAGAUCCUCGAGCUGCCGCAGCUGAUGGAGCGCUGCAUACGCGAAGGACGCUACGAGGAGGCCCUGGAGCUGGCCGCCUACGUGCAGAAGCUGGGCCAGCAUCAGGGCCACAUAUCUGUGGUGAAUAGCAUUGUGCGCGCCGUGGAGGCCUUGUGGCACACCAUGCUGGUGCAGCUGGUGGCCCAGCUUCGUUCGGAUUUGCAGCUGCCCAAGUGCCUGCAGAUCGUCGGAUACCUGAGGCGCAUGCAGGCUUUCGGGGACAACGAGCUGAAGUUGAAGUUCCUGCAGGCUCGCGACUCCUGGCUUACCUCCUGCCUUGGGGCCAUUCCCACAGCGGAUGCCCAGCAGCAUCUGACCAAGACCAUUGAGAUCACGCGCAUCAAUCUGUUCAACAUCAUCACCCAGUACCGGGCCAUAUUCCCCGAGGAAGAGAGCGCUGGCAAGGCGCAGGGCAGUAGUCUAAGGCCUUUGCAGGGCGUCAGCUGCAACGGCGAUCGCCUCUUCCAGGCGUGGCUGCACAACAAAAUUAAUGCAUUCUUGGAGACCCUCGAAAAGGAUCUGCAUCGCGGCGUUGGAUCCAUUGAGACGGUUUUGGGCCAGUGCAUGUACUUCGGGCUCUCUUUCAGCCGCGUCGGGGCCGACUUUCGGGCCCUAAUGGCUCCCAUCUUUGUGGGCGUGGUGCAGAGCAAGUUCGAGGCCAGCAUUGAGCAGGUCAACGAGCACUUUGAGCAGGAGCUGGAGAGGUUCACGCUGAUCAACAAGGUUACGCUCCACUCGCGCAAGCAGGUGGAUCCCACCUCGCUCUCCGCCAACGAGAACGAGUCAUUUGCGCCUCCAGAGACGCUCCUGGACUUCUACCCCCUGGCCGCCCUUUGCAACGGCUAUCUGAAUGCCCUGAACGAGUUGCGGCUCUGCGCCCCACUGGCGCUGGCCACAGACGUCACGCGCUGCUUGCAGCAGUCCCUGCAGUUAGUGGCCCAGCGAGUGCUCGCCUUCUACCGCCAGGAGCAGCAAGCUUUCACUGGAAACGAGCGCGAGAACUUCGUGAAGCUGUGCUCCUGCCUGGCCUACGACCUGGUGCCUUAUGUCCAGCGCUGCAUCCAUGGCAUCUUCCCGCCCCAGUCGCUCACCGUUCACCUGGGCAUAAGCCUCCUGCAGCUGGAGCAGCAGCAGCUCACCUAUCUGCAGCAGGCGCGCAUCCUAGAGCCCCUCAAGCAUCUCCUGCCCACCAAGGUGCUGGUCCAGUCACAGCCUGCCCAGGAACCAGCUCUGGAGGCAAAGCCCGUCCUCAACUUACCCGUUGCUGCCGAGGGAUGAGUCAUUCCCAACAACAAGUUCUAGGUUUAAUCCAUAUUCCCAUAUUUAAAUUUUGUUUGUCGUAAUAGUAUACAUAUAUAUACAUACACACAUAUGUACAUGUGUUUACUGGAAAUAUCUGUAAGACUAAAGAUGAAAUCUUGAAUAAUAGCAUGCUCUCUUGGGGGGUUUUAUACAUCUGCGAGUAUAUCGAAAAGAAUUCUUAGUUGGGGAACAUUUUCUAAUCAAAUCAAAUCAGCAUUUUGCAGUGUCGCAAUGCCGCUUUUUCCAUAACUCUUAUUCGUGCUAAAAGAUUACCGACCACAUCCAGGAACGGAUGCCGACAUUAGCUGAUCGAAUAGGCCAUCAUGAAGACUGAUUCGUGUUUGAUCGGAGUGAACAAGCACAGCCCAGGAGAAUAAAAUAUCCCCCCAAGUCCCGAAGUCCCGAAUUAAAUAUUGAGCAAGCAAUCCAUGCCCCACAAAACCCCAAAUGUCAAAUUCGAUGUUGUGUGAGAAUACUGGAAAAAUAUCAGUAUAGUCAGGAGCGUGCGGUGUAAAACACAAAAAAAUAAAAUAUUAAAAAUUCUAAAUUUCUAGGAAUAUUUAUUUCGGUUUUUUUCAAUUAGGUUUAAGCAUAAAGUCCAUAUUCAUAAAUACUUGGCAAAAUACCUGUGGUGGCACAAUCGGGUACAACACGGCUUCUUCGGAUAGUUUUUUACACACCCCUACAUAAAUACGGGCAAUCUGAGGGAUCUGAGGGCUCCGAGAAGACUCGCAAGUAGAACCAAUACUUUGUUCGACACUGAUUCGGCUAUCGGAAAAUAUAGACUGUGUUCAUCGGGUACACGUUCAGAUGUGUGACUGAUAAAAAUAUAUUUUGUUACUAAUAA